CUGGAACUGGGAUCAGGUAGAGAUACAC
rnacentral:rRNA from 1 species